rnacentral:lncRNA from 1 species
UAUGACAUUGAAGUGUAAUAUCUCUUUAUUUUUUAACUAGGUGUGGAAUAUCCCAGGAAUCUUGUCAUUGAUCAUUCCUGGAAUAGCUUCAUCUAUGAGAGUCCUGCCUUCAGAUUUAGUUCUGUGAGUGAAAUACAAGGAACUACACUGCCUCCUAAAGGAAAUGUAGAUAUCUCAUUGUUAUUUAUACCCAAAAUUAUGAAAUUACACAAAACAAUGGUUAUUAUUGAGAUGAAAAAAGCAAAUGGAAAAUAUUGGCCUAUUGACAAUUUUGAUGAGUUGGAUGUAGAAUCUAAAAGUAUUAUGGGAAUCGACAGCGAAGAAAUCCAAGCAAUACACUGGAUAUACCCUAUUGUUGGACUCCCACUAGCACCACCUCCUAAAUCUCCUCCAAGUAGGUAUACAUUAGAGUCAGAGAAUGCCAGAAUUCUUACAGACCUUAGAUAUUCUCUAUUCCCA